UGUUCCCAGGAGUAUGGAAAUCAGCAGUCUUUGGAACAACAUCUGCUGUUUUCCUGGCUAUCAUAUGGCUCUCUGUCCUCCUACUGAUAGGGAAAAAGAGAUCCUCCAAGCAAUCAUCUGAGCCUGGAGAUAGACCAGACGACAGGGAACAGGAUGACCUUCAUUAUGCCAGUUUCCACUUCUCCAAUAACCAGACAGAUGCUGUCUACUCCAACAUCAUACCAGCUGUCCCCCGAAGACACAAGGAAGAGGAGGAGGAAGUUGUUGAGUACGCUGCCGUCAAAUUUAACAAUGCCAGUACUGCCCCAAGGACCAGAAGUCAGGAAACUGUGGAGGAUCCAGCUGCAUUGUACAGUACAGUCAACAAAAGUGCUGAACGCAACCGGAACGUCUAAUCUGUGCUUUCUGUCAUUUUUAAAUGUGCUAGGCUCUAGGGAUGGCAAAGUUAGUCUGUGGUUGGUUAGUUAGUUUUGCAGUCAGUUGGUCUGCCACUUGCAGAGUCCAGACUGAAAUAGUUCAACAACUAGUUUUUACUGACAUUUAUG